CAAGAAUUAAGCGAGUUCCGCCUCUUUCAUGGGCGACCGAGUUCUUUCGUUGAUACUGUAACGGAGAAAGAGAGAAACAUCAAUGUGCAAGAGAUACAUUCAUCAGUUGCCUCUCGUACACUCUUACCUGGGUACCUGGCCCCCAGUGCAGGCAUGUUCCUUGACUGGUAAUCAAACAGUGUGUACAGGUAAGCCCUGGCUGCCUCCAUACCUCAACCCACUCCCAGGAAGACCAAAAAACCUUCACGCAUCUCAAGAGACAGGAAGGGUGGGGAGAAAGAAACAUCCAUGUGAGAGAGAAACAAUGAUCAGUUGCCUCCUGUUCUCAACCUGAUCAGAGACUGAAUCUGCAACCCAGGACACAAUUGGAAACUGGUUUUAUUAACCAAGACCUUGAGUGAAAUGUCUAAUUUGAGAGAGACAUGCAUAUAGACUCUGGAUGUCACUAGAAAGCUGUAAAGAAUUAAUUUUGACUUUGGAAGCUGAUAAAAUCCAUUUGGAAAAACGACCUGAUACCUUGCUUAUUUACUUGGUUCAUGGCAGUCUUUCCAGGUGAAAAACGAACGCUGCUUUCCUGAGAGAUGGCAAAGAAAGAACCUCAGGGCAUUUUGGGAACUUUAAGACCUUGAGAAUUCACCCAAAUCUAUGUGUAUUACAUGCAGAUUUGGAUAGCAACUAUGUGGCUUGGCUUCUUUGCUCUGAGGGGCUCUGGAGAUUCUUUAUGAGAUUCUGGCAAAGCAGACUUAAGAGAACCUAUGUGAUCAAUUGCUAUUCUUGUUAAAUUUUUGUAAAUAAUCAAGAUAAAUUUAUUGAAACUAGACUUAUGCAGUCAAUAAUCUUAA